CAGGUGUUUCUACAGCACAAGAUCGUCUGAACUAUUGCAAGUCAUGAUGAGCAUCUGAUCGUCUUCAGAGACACAAAGAUCUCAGUGUUGAUCAGUUUAUCUGCAGUAUGUCAGAGGAGCGAGGAAAGGACUCUCCGUCUGAGAUGAGUCUCUCACAGAAACAGAGUGUAAGAUCAGACUCACAUGUGUCCAGCUCUGUGUCUGUGAAGAGUGACUGGUCAAAGAGGUGAACCACCGAACUUCAGUGAGAAAAAAACAUCAUCUACCAAAAGUGUAAGAUCAGACUCACAUGUGUCCAGCUCUGUGUCUGUGAAGAGUGACUGGUCAAAAGAUGAA